rnacentral:lncRNA from 1 species
GCCUUUGUUCUUGAACAAUCAUAAACAAAGCUCGAUCCCGGUGAAUUCGUCCGUCUUCAACUUUGAGUUCCGGAUGGGUUCAUGCUAUCAAACCUAUUGGUAAAGCUUCGUAAGGUUAGCAACUGAUUCGUAGGAUGUAGAUCAAUUUUCCUUUCCAUUUUGAUCAAUAUACUGCCCUCACAAGAUUCUGGGAUUUUCACCAGAAUUGUUGGUGAAGAUGAGCAAGAAACGUCUUUGUCAACGCAUGGAUUUUUCAACGAUUGCAGUGCAAUCACUGAACUUCCUGAACUUUGUGAUCCAUACCUGUAAUUUUUGGAGUAUGCAACACAACACCACUUUUCUCAGUAAUCGCAUGACGAGAACAUACUAUUAGGAGCUGACAGUUUAGCCAUCUAAUAAAAUGGUAUGGUCAUGACAAUUUUCACCCGAAAUGAUUUUACUACUCCUUUUGAAGUCCUAGAAUUGGCUCUUAUCAAUUUUUAGGAUGCUAGUAAAUUAAUUUGGCUCAUAUUCUUAUAUUUCGAUUUAGUAAUAGUACUUCUUCAAAAUCAGUGGCUUUAAG